rnacentral:rRNA from 1 species
AGAGUUUGAUCCUGGCUCAGAACGAACGCUGGCGGCAUGCCUAACACAUGCAAGUCGAACGAACCCUUCGGGGUUAGUGGCGCACGGGUGCGUAACGCGUGGGAACCUGCCUUUAGGUUCGGAAUAACAGUUAGAAAUGACUGCUAAUACCGGAUAAUGUCUUCGGACCAAAGAUUUAUUGCCUUUAGAUGGGCCCGCGUUGGAUUAGAUAGUUGGUGGGUAAUGGCCUACCAAGUCGACGAUCCAUAGCUGGUCUGAGAGGAUGACCAGCCACACUGGGACUGAGACACGGCCCAGACUCCUACGGGAGGCAGCAGUGGGGAAUAUUGGACAAUGGGCGAAAGCCUGAUCCAGCAAUGCCGCGUGAGUGAUGAAGGCCUUAGGGUUGUAAAGCUCUUUUACCAGGGAUGAUAAUGACAGUACCUGGAGAAUAAGCUCCGGCUAACUCCGUGCCAGCAGCCGCGGUAAUACGGAGGGAGCUAGCGUUGUUCGGAAUUACUGGGCGUAAAGCGCACGUAGGCGGCUUUUCAAGUCAGGGGUGAAAUCCCGGGGCUCAACCCCGGAACUGCCCUUGAAACUGGAUGGCUAGAAUACUGGAGAGGUGAGUGGAAUUCCGAGUGUAGAGGUGAAAUUC